AUUGAACGCUGGCGGCAGGCCUAACACAUGCAAGUCGAGCGGCAGCGGGAAAGUAGCUUGCUACUUUUGCCGGCGAGCGGCGGACGGGUGAGUAAUGCCUGGGAAAUUGCCCAGUCGAGGGGGAUAACAGUUGGAAACGACUGCUAAUACCGCAUACACCCUACGGGGGAAAGCAGGGGACCUUCGGGCCUUGCGCGAUUGGAUAUGCCCAGGUGGGAUUAGCUAGUUGGUGAGGUAAUGGCUCACCAAGGCGACGAUCCCUAGCUGGACUGAGAGGAUGAUCAGCCACACUGGAACUGAGACACGGUCCAGACUCCUACGGGAGGCAGCAGUGGGGAAUAUUGCACAAUGGGGGAAACCCUGAUGCAGCCAUGCCGCGUGUGUGAAGAAGGCCUUCGGGUUGUAAAGCACUUUCAGCGAGGAGGAAAGGUUGAUGCCUAAUACGUAUCAACUGUGACGUUACUCGCAGAAGAAGCACCGGCUAACUCCGUGCCAGCCGCCGCAGUAA
rnacentral:rRNA from 1 species